CAGGUCCGCCAUUCAGCUCCACUACCAAAGUUAAAUAUAUCCCGACAUAUUUCUGAGAAGAAAGGUGUCCCUUCUCUUUUUUUGGCGUGGUCCUUCUCGAAAGGACCCAAACCACGCCGUCCUCCAUUUAUAAUGCGAUGCACAUCGGUUUCUUUCCUCAUUACGAUUCCAACCUCUCUCCAGUGAAGAACUUUACUGGAGAGUGGGGUGGAAAGUUGGGCGUCAUUUUGUGUCUUUGGAAAUUUGGAGAGGAAAUGGAAAGAUAAGGAGUUACUUUAUAUGAAAAUCUACUAUGCCCCAAUUACGUAGGUGCGUCAUCUACAUCCACCUAAAUUCUGGAACCUUCUCUGUAUAAAAUGUGCUGUAAAACUUUACGACUUUAUUUCCUCGAGAAAAUUCACCAUCUUCUAACUACAUAAUUGCGUCAUCUACAACCUCCUAAAUUCUGGGUCCUCCCGUGUGCCAAAUUUACUACACAACUUCGCAACGAUUUUAUAUCUGAGAGAUUCCAUGGAACCCUCAAAUCCAUCAGGCCCCCUCUCCCCUCGUGGAAAUUCUGUAAUCAGCGGACUCCAAAUUAUGUGACACGUCUCAUCAUUUCAAACGACGCCCAAGGUUGUGGACCACCCUGCACUCAAGACUUCACUCCAUAAUUACGUAUGUACAUAUCUUCACCGUAAUCAAGUUCCUGAUGCGACAAGUAAUAUCUUAUCUUCUAAAUAUUUGGGGGUACGUUAUCCAGUUCAAAAGUGGUAAUAUGUAGGUAUUUCUUUACCCUAAAAAAUGGCACGAAACUGCUCUAAAAUUUCGGGUAUCCUAAUUUUUCUCAAGUUCUAUACAUCCUUUUAGUUAAAUUAUGUCUCAAGAUAGUCAAAAUUCGUCCGUAAUUUCUGUAAACUUGUUAGGUUUUAAUUUUUGAACUAUUUUUGCUAAUUCUCUAACAUGUUACAUAAGUACAUGUUAAUGCUUAGGAAAAACACAGAUCCUUCAAAAUUUUUAUCGCGAUCUGAAUCAAACAAUGUUUGCAUCUUAGGCGAGGAAUGAUAGCAAAUCAAUUAAUUUAUGAAAUUGCCUAUACUUAACGAAGAAUUUGUAGAAUUACAAAUCAGUGCAUUUUGUCUUUAAAAAAAACGAAACAUAAUUCAAGGAACGGAGCAUAACGCGUAAACUUUCCAGUUGAAAAAAUAAUUUUACUCUCCAUAUAAACACUGUAACGUAUUCACGUGAAACUUUGUAAUCCGUUCACGUGAAUUAAUAUCCAUACUCGAAAAAUAUUACUAGGGCAGGUUUAGCAUUUGAUAAUCUUGAAACAUUAGAAAAAUACGUGUAGGCCAAUUUAUUCGACAGAAAUGUACUUUGUUGAAUAAGCUCAAAUUUAAUAUUAUUUACAAGCAGUUUUAUAUAAAUGCAUCAUUAAGUCCGGUUAAGUACAGGUCAGUCAUUCAUUUCGACCGAUUGUCUAAACUUCGAGGGAACUUUAACGUGAUACAGUAAUUCAUUGUCAGUUUUGUUGUAUUAAGACAAAUGUGUGCCCAAAGAUAGAUACAAAAUCCAUAAAAUAUGAAUUAUAGACCGAAAAAUUUUCAGAAAAUUUAUGAAAAAUUACAACAUAUAAACUUGAUCUUAUAACAUUUCACAUAUAAAUUACGCUAUUUUGCCUCGUUUCUUAUAGUUUCAAACCAAUCAAUUAUUAUCCUUACUCUGAAAGAAAUAUCUUAUUUCCAUUAUACAAAAUAUGAUUACAAAAAUGUCAGAAAUGUUGAAAUUUGUACUUCAGCGUUCUAUCCACACUUAAAAAUGCAGCCCAGUAAAAAAUAAUUAUGAUAGGUGGUAGGUCUAAAUUCAUAAGCAAGUUCAAUGAACCGGUCCUUACCCCCGAGGAAAUUGUAUGUGGGGAACAGGGGAAUUUUUAAUUUUUAAUUUAUUCAAAAAUUUGAAACCUGUAAUAUACGGGAACAAAUUUUAUUCGUAAUACUGACAUCUUUUGAUCGAUACGUGUAUAGCGUACUAUACGACGAUUCAAAACCGCUCGGCAAAUACAGUACAUUUGUCACGUAAUAAGUUUGGAAAUAUAAAUUAAAUUUUUUCAGAACCUUAAAAUAUGGAGAUUAGCAUAAUGAAUAGGUUAAAGUCGUGAUAAGAUUCAAUACACAACCUCUUUAACUGUAGCCUUCAGGUAUACACCCAUAUUUUGUAUAUUCUAAUAGACUUGUACUCAUUGAAAAGUAUAGUGCACUCAUUUAUUUAUCGAGGUAUAGAUAAAUAAAUACGCUAAAAACAUAACACGACAAGGAGCGGAUAUCCCAAAUUAGAUUAUCAUAAUGAACAGGUGCCAUAUCAUGAUAAGAUUCAAUACAUAACCCUUUAACUGUUUGGGACAGAAUAGAACCUACAUUAUUACCCUAAUUAUGUAGAAAUUUCAUGUUUUAUACAAUCCAACAUAUCUGAUUGAAGAAAUACCUACUUUAUUUAUCGAGGUAUGGAUAAAUAAACUCACAAAAUACAUAACGCGAUAAUAAGCGGAUAUCUCAAAUUAGAUUAGUACAAGAUUAUCAUAAUGAACAGGUGCCAUGUCAUGAUAAGAUUCAAUACAUAACCCAAUAACUGUUUCAAACAGAAUGAAACCUACAUAAUUACUCCAACUAUGUAGAAAUUUCACGUUUUAUUUAAUCCAACUGACUUGAGUACUACUUGUUGGACGAAGUUUGGCACUUGUUUAUCGAGGUAUGGAUAAAUAAAUCCACAAAAUACAUAAUACAAUAAGAAGCGGAUAUCCCAAAUUAGAUUAGUACAAGAAUCAAAUAAUGAAUGAACAGGUUUAAUGUCAUAAUAAGAUUCAAUACAUAACCCUUUAACUGUUUGGGACAGAAUUGAAUCAACAUAAUUACCCAAAUUAUGUAGAAAUUUCACGUUUUAUCCAAUCCAACAUACUCGAGUACUAAAUACUUGUUGGAGAAAUUUUUACACUUAUUUAUCGCGGUAUGGAUAAAUAAAUCCACCAAAUAUAUAAAUACGUUAAGAAGCAGAUAUCUCCAAAUCAAAUUAGAUUAGCAUAAUGAACAGGUGCUAUGUCAUGAUAAGAUUUAAAACACAAUCUCUCUAGCUGAGCUUUCUCUUGCAAACUUAUCCAAUUACUUAUUCAUGUAAUUCUUAAGUUAAAAAAAUUCUAUAUGUUGUAUUUCUUAUGAUAGACUCAAAUAAUUUUUAAUCAAUUUUUUUGUAAAAAAAUAUUUAAAUUAAAUUAUCGUGGUACGGAUAAAUCAAUUCACAAAUUAUAAAACACAAUACGAAGCAGACAAAUCAAAUUGGAUGUUUCAAAUAACUGUAAAUAGGAGCCACGUGCUUGUACAUAACUGAUCCUGAGAAGUCGCUUACUUUUUUGUUUAUCUUAUAUUAUCCUGGAUCGUAAAUUUUGAAACCAGAUUCAAUCGCAACUAUAUAAAUUACUUACUUACUCUCCCAUUUAUGUAAAAUGGGACUGUAUUUUUAGAAUUAUGAAACUACAUAAUAUAAUUUUUAAGAUUGUUAGGUUGCCUAUUUCUUGCAACGUCAGUACAAUGGUUCACGAUGUAAAAAUUUUUAUAUCAAAUACAUUGAGCUUAGUGUUUGAUAGUCGCGCGGGGUGAAAACAAUUAGUGUGAAAAACUGCACACUAAAUAAUAUUUGAAGAAAAUUACUCUAACUUUCAACUGUUUUCAUUAAAACUUCUCACGUUUCUCUAUACCCUUCCGCCACUUUGUUACAUACGUUGUUUGCGUAUUUCACUCCCUGCAGGUUUUUUAUACUCAUAUUGGCCCUGGUAAUCAGCCAAUUGUGUAAAUUAAAUGACAUAUGUAUUUAGCAGACAUGAAACAUUGACGAAACGUAUUUCUGCAUAGGUUUGCACUCAAUGUACUAAAACUGCGUUAAGUUUUCGAUUCAGUCUCUCUGAUCAAUUUAUUUUCAAUUCCGAAGUAAACAUUUUGGUAUUGGUAAUUUACAAAAUGUGUAAAUUUAAUGCCAAACACACAUUCGAAAGGAGACAUUGAUUUAAAGCGAUAGGUUUACAAUUAAUAUACUAAAACUGCGUUAAGUUUUCGAUUCAGCCUCUCCGAUUAGAUUUUCAUUAAAUAAACAAACUUCACGCACAUAUUGGUGUUGGUAAUCUGCCAAAUGUGUUAGUCAAAACACAGAAACAUAUUCUUUCAGAAAUGAAACAUUUUAUCAAACGAACAGGUUUGAAAUCCAUAUACUAAAACUGCGUUAAGUUUUCGAUUCAGCCGCUAUGCUUAUUAUCAUUUUAUCAAAAACUUCUUAUGCAUAAAUUGGUAUUGGUAAUCUGCCAAUUGUGAAAAUUAAAUGGAAAAAUCAGAAAUGAAACAUUUUAUCAAACGGAUAGGUUUGAAAUCCAGAUACUAAAACUGCGUUAAGUUUUCGAUUCAGUCGCUACGAAUAGUUUGUUUUCUUUCCAUAAACAAACUUAAAGAUUUUUAAGGGACAUAUUGGUACUUGUAAUCUGCCAAUUGUGUUAAUUUAAUGAAAAAUACCUACAUACCUAUAAGAAAUUAAAUCACAUUGAUCCGAUGCAUACAUAGGUUUGCAAUGCAUGUACUAAAACUGCGUUAAGUUUUCGAUUCAGUCUUCUUCGUUGAGAUUGUACACUGUUACAACUUGAUAAUCUGACUUACAUACUUUUCAUUUAAGUGAAAGUAAGAAUAAAUAAUAUACAUACAUACAUAAACCUCUUGCAACACGAAGGUAUUGUGCGCAAUGAGAACAAUUUAUUACGUAAAUUAUACUUUUGCAGAUAUAAAAAUACACGAAAAAACGUUUUUACUUCAUUUUGCAUUUAUGAAAAACAAAAUUUAGGAUUCAUAAGAUCUUUCUAACACGUCAGAUAUGUAUCACGGUUUUCUCUCUGGCAGAUGAUUCUGCAUAAAAAUAUAUACACGUGGUUAAUUUAUGCAUAAAUACUUAUUCCUAAAUACGUAAUCAUUAAUUUUUCAAUGUAGUAAAUAACCUAAUUUCAUAUUUUGAAGCGAGAUCUGUUAAGCUUGGUAGACAAUUUCUUGCAUAUUUAUUGUGCACGACAAAUGUAAACUGAAAAGCAUUAAUUGGUUGACAGCUUUGAAAAAUAAUUAGCUAGUGGUUUCUGUAAUUUCGUCCUAAAUUUAAAAUGUAAUUAAAUUGACCUCAUACUUAACUUGAAACCGGAGCUGUCAAGUAACAAAAGUCCACAGUUGUGAUCUAUAUGGUUUGCAGAGGUUUGAUAAAUAUUUCCCAGAAUGGUUUAAACAUUUUUUCUGAUUUUAAUAAGGUAAUGAAUUACUUUUCAAAUGAUUGAUUAUUGUAAAAUUUUUUAACAACAUCGGGCCGAAGUAUGGUAAAGAAUUUUUUGUAAGGCAUUUUUUAAUGGGGAGUGAACUGUGCUGAUUUUUAAAAAACUGUGCUGCAAAAAAAUGUAUGAAUUUAUAUGUAACCGUGUUAAUUUAUAGUCUUUGUUUAAUACGAUAAGAAUAAAAAUUGUUAUAUAAAUUAGUCAAUUAUAAACUUAUAUUUCGAACAAUACUUUGUCGAUAAAUACUUAUGUGAAAUAAAGGAAUAGUGUUACAUUGUA